rnacentral:rRNA from 1 species
CCUAGGGUGGCUGCAGUGAGGAAUAUUGCACAAUGGGGGGAACCCUGAUGCAGCAACGCCGCGUGGAGGAUGACGCAUUUCGGUGUGUAAACUCCUUUUAUAUGUCAAGAAAAUGACGGUAGCAUAUGAAUAAGCACCGGCUAACUCCGUGCCAGCAGCCGCGGUAAUACGGAGGGUGCAAGCGUUACUCGGAAUCACUGGGCGUAAAGGACGCGUAGGCGGGUUGGAAAGUCAGGUGUGAAAUCCUACAGCUUAACUGUAGAACUGCACUUGAAACUUCUAAUCUAGAGUAUGGGAGGGGGAGAUGGAAUUAGUGGUGUAGGGGUAAAAUCCGUAGAUAUCACUAGGAAUACCUAAAGCGAAGGCGAUCUCCUGGAACAUUACUGACGCUAAGGCGUGAAAGCGUGGGGAGCAAACAGGAUUAGAUACCCGCGUAGUC